GACGAACGCUGGCGGCGUGCUUAACACAUGCAAGUCGAACGGAAAGGCCCGGCUCUUGUGGCGUGCUCGAGAGGCGAACGGGUGAGUAACACGUGAGUAACCUGCCCUUAACUGUGGGAUAACUUCAGGAAACUGGGGCUAAUACAGGAUAGGAUCUCCUGCUGCAUGGGGGGGGUUGGAAAGAUACGGCGGUUGGGGAUGGACUCGCGGCUUAUGAGCUUGUUGGUGGGGUAGGGGCUUACCAAGGCUUUGACGGGUAGCCGGCCUGAGAGGGUGACCGGCCACAUUGGGCCUGAGAUACGGCCCAGACUCCUACGGGAGGCAGCAGUGGGGAAUAUUGCGCAAUGGGCGGAAGCCUGAUGCAGCAACGCCGCGUGCGGGAUGACGGCCUUCGGGUUGUAAACCGCUUUCGCCUGUGACGAAGCGUGAGUGACGGUAAUGGGUAAAGAAGCACCGGCUAACUACGUG
rnacentral:rRNA from 1 species